UUCUUUCUGUCUUACAGGAUUGUUUGCAGAUAAUGCUGUUCUUCUUUUUCAGAAGUUUUUGGUGAGCCAAUCCUCACAAACCUUCCUAAAAACUAAAAGAGCUAUUACUGAGUCUCAGUGAAUCUUGCCAUGAUCAGCUCUUCCCAGAAGAUAAGGAAGACCAAGGAAAUGAUUUGCUCAGGAUGAGGAAUGAAGACGGCCAUCUUGUGCUCAAACAAACAGAAGUCCUCUGAUGAUCUCAUCAGCCAAAUGAGGGGUUUUGACCAAGUGAUGCUCUUGAAAGGACUGAAAGAAGAGGAUGUGGUAAAUUGUCUUCAGAGAAAAAGCUUCUCAAAAGGUCUCAAAACAGCUUGAAGAAUGGUAAG